UGAGGAACAUGACCUUCGGCGGGGGAGUAGCCGGCCCAACGGCCGGGUAAUACCGCGUACGACCACAUGGGGACAUCCCUGAGUGGUGAAAGCAGCAAUGCGCCGAUGGAGUGCCUCGCGGCCUAUCAGAUAGUUGGUGAGGUAACGGCUCACCAAGGCGACGACGGGUAGCUGGUCUGAGAGGAUGGCCAGCCACAUUGGGACUGAGACACGGCCCAGACCUCUACGGGAGG
rnacentral:rRNA from 1 species